CUUACUCUUUGAGAGCUCCGCGGGCGAGCGAGGUGUAGUUACGCUGAUGAGCGUAACUCCGCAGAAUCCUUAGCACCUUGUGAUUUGUGUACUUUGGGAAAACUUCUCGUGGCUCAGAUCUGGCCCUUCAACCACGGGCUGAGGACGUGCUUCCUCCUUGUAAAUUACUGCCUUAAAAAGGAGGGGCUGGCGAGAUGGCUCAGUGGUUAAAAGCACCGACUGCUCUUCCGAAGGUUCUGAGUUCAAAUCCCAGCAACCACAUGGUGGCUCACAACCAUCUGUAAUGAGAUCUGAUGCCCUCUUCUGGUGCAUCUGAAGACAGCUACAGUGUACUUAGAUAUAAUAAUAAAAAAUAAAUCUUAAAAAAAAAAAAAAAAAG
rnacentral:lncRNA from 1 species